GCAGCAGUGGCCGAGUGGUUAAGGCGAUGGACUAGAAGUCCAUUCAGGUCUCCCCGCACAGGUUCGAAUCCUGUCGACUGCG
rnacentral:tRNA from 2 species